ACAGCAGUAGCCACGGUAAUACGUAGGGUGCAAGCGUUAAUCGGAAUUACUGGGCGUAAAGCGUGCGCAGGCGGUUAUAUAAGACAGAUGUGAAAUCCCCGGGCUCAACCUGGGAACUGCAUUUGUGACUGUAUAGCUAGAGUACGGCAGAGGGGGAUGGAAUUCCGCGUGUAGCAGUGAAAUGCGUAGAUAUGCGGAGGAACACCGAUGGCGAAGGCAAUCCCCUGGGCCUGUACUGACGCUCAUGCACGAAAGCGUGGGGAGCAAACAGGAUUAGAUACCCGUGUAGUCCCUGUCUCUUAUAC
rnacentral:rRNA from 1 species